GCCCUUAAAUCCCCCAUAGGGAUAAGGAGCUGGUAUCAGGCACAUCCAAAUAGCCCAAGACACCUAGCUAUGCCACACCCACAAGGGUUCUCAGCAGUGAUUAACAUUGAACAUCAGCGACAGCUUGAUUCAGUUAAAGUAAUUAGAGCCGGCAAAUCUGGUGCCAGCCGCCGCGGUUACACCACGUGGCUCAAAUUGACCACUAUCGGCGUAAAGAGUGAUUUAAGAGCCCCCCCCAUUUGGCGUCAAAUUUAUACUAAGCUGUGACACGCUUGUCAUUUAGAAGCCCUAAAACGAAAGUUACCCCAACCAAAUCAACUUGAAUUCACGACAACCAAGAAACAAACUGGGAUUAGAUACCCCACUAUGCUUGGCAGUAAACCUUAAAUUACACCUAAAUCGCCUGGGAACUACGAGCAAAGCUUAAAACCCAAGGGACUUGACGGUACCCCAAAUCCACCUAGAGGAGCCUGUCCUAUAAUCGAUAACCCCCGCUUUACCUCACCACUUCUAGCCAAUCAGCCUGUAUACCUCCGUCGUCAGCUUACCACGUGAGCGAAAUAUAGUGAGCUUAAUGCCAUUCCACCAAAACGUCAGGUCAAGGUGCAACUUAUGAAAUGGAAAGAGAUGGGCUACACUCCCUAUCUUAGGGCACACGAAAAACUAUUUAUGAAAUCUAGUUUAAAGGCGGAUUUAGAAGUAAAAAGAAAUCAGAGUGUUCCUUUUAACUCGGCACUGGGGUGUGUACACACCGCCCGUCACCCUCUUCAAAGUCUUAUUGAAGUCU
rnacentral:rRNA from 1 species